UACGGGGGGAGCAAGCGUUGUUCGGAUUUACUGGGCGUAAAGGGCGCGUAGGCGGCGUGACAAGUCACUUGUGAAAUCUCCGGGCUUAACCCGGAGCGGCCAAGUGAUACUGUCGUGCUAGAGUGCGGAAGGGGCUACUGGAAUUCUCGGUGUAGCGGUGAAAUGCGUAGAUAUCGAGAGGAACACCUGCGGCGAAGGCGAGUCCCUGGACACUUACUGACGCUGAGGCACGAAAGCUAGGGGAGCAAACAGG
rnacentral:rRNA from 1 species